UACGUGGGGUGCAAGCAUUAUUCAAAAUUACUGGGCGUAAAGCGUGUGUAGGCGGCUCGUUAAGUCUGACGUGAAAUCCCUGGGCUUAACCCAGGAACUGCAUCGGAAACUAGCGAGCUUGAGUCCGGGAGAGGGUAGUGGAAUUCCUGGUGUAGAGGUGAAAUUCGUAGAUAUCAGGAGGAACACCGGUGGCGAAGGCGGCUACCUGGACCGGUACUGACGCUGAGACACGAAAGCGUGGGGAGCAAACAGG
rnacentral:rRNA from 1 species